rnacentral:rRNA from 1 species
CCUACGGGAGGCAGCAGUGAGGAAUAUUGGUCAAUGGCCGGAAGGCUGAACCAGCCAUGCCGCGUGAAGGUCAAUGCCCUAUGGGCGUUAAACUUCUUUUGUCCGGGAGCAAUAAUCGGCACGGGUUGCCAGACGGAGGUACCCUACGAAUAAGCAUCGGCUAACUCCGUGCCAGCCGCCGCGGUAAUACGGGGGAUGCAAGCGUUAUCCGGAGUUACUGGGUUUAAAGGGUGCGUACGCUGGGAGGUAAGUCAGCGGUGAAAUGCCCCCGGUCAACGGGGUGAAGUGCCAUUGAUACUGGCUUGCUGGAAUGCGGAUGACGUGGGAGGAAUGUGUGGUGUAGCGGUGAAAUGCAUAGAUAUCACACAGAACACCGAUUGCGAAGGCAUCUCACGAAUCCGCGAUUGACGCUGAUGCACGAAAGCGUGGGUAUCAAACAGGAUUAGAUACCCUUGUAGUC